GGGUGUGAGGGUGGUCUGACUGUGGCAUCGGUCACCUCCUUGAUCACCAGGGUUGCCUCAGGGAGCCCGGCUGGUGAGAUAGGUGUCCCCUUCGUCCCUCAGAGCUCCCUGUGGAGUCUCCCAAAGCUGCAUGCUCAAAGGGGAGGGUAUGCAGGUCCCCUCUGGGACCUCCAGGCAAGCUCUUGA
rnacentral:snRNA from 1 species